rnacentral:rRNA from 1 species
AUUGAACGCUAGCGGGAUGCUUUACACAUGCAAGUCGAACGAGGGGCGGAGGGGGGAGUAAUAUAUCGGAACGUGCCCAGUAGCGGGGGAUAACUACGAGAAAGAGUGGCUAAUACCGCAAAAUAUUGGAGCGGCAGAUAUCGGAUUAGCUAGUUGGUGGGGUAAAGGCUCACCAAGGCAACGAUCCGUAGCUGGUGUGAGAGGACGACCGGCCACACGGGUACUGAGACACGGCCCAGACUCCUACGGGAGGCAGCAGUGGGGAAUUUUGGGCAAUGGGGGAAACCCUGAUCCAGCCAUCCCGCGUGUAUGAGAAGGCCUUCGGGUUGUAAAGUACUUUUGGCAGAGAAGCGGUAUCUGCAGAAUAAGCACCGGCUAACUACGUGCCAGCAGCCGCGGUAAUUC